AAAAUGAAAGAGAGGCUUGGUGGAUCAGCCGUUGGGCCUAUGGCUGUCCGAUGUGUGGGGGGACAUGGGUUCGAGUUGUAUAGACGAGACUGCAAUCACAAAUGUUAAUUAGAUGGAGCUUUCCACUUUCAUGACAAUCAAAUCAAGGUGGUGCAUGCAUGACUGCAAUGUUAAUUAGCUGCGGCUUUCCACUUUCAUGACAAUCAAUUCAGGGCAAGCUCAUGCAGUAGCUGAUGUUGAAGAAAGCAGCACUCUUUGAUGGUAGUUUAUGUUCCUUUUUGUAGUUGCUGGUUGGAGCUUGGAAGUAAAGAGGAGCCGUUAGCCUUGCAGAAGUGGAAAUUCGUCCGUUUGUCCUAUGCAUCAGCUGUCUGGUGUAUGUAAAAGCGUUUAAGUUCCUCAGCUCGACAGCAACAGUUUUGGAAGGAAGGCUUGUGUUUUGGAAAAUGUUCAGGAGAGCUCCAUUAGUGAAGGUUCCCAGCAUUUCACAUAUAACAUUUCCUUUUCCUUUUAAUGGAAGUGACAUUACCUGUACAUUAUAGAUACGAGAAAUUGAUCAGGAUAGCAGGUGUGAAUGUAAUAGAUCCAUGUCUGUUUGAGACAACAUUAAUCAUUUAUUAGUAUGAUGCCCUGGUUUUUCAAGUUGCAGCAUCCAAUAAAAAAUGUCCAAUCUUGUUAACCCAUCAAAAAGAUUCAAAUCCUGUCUCUCUGCAAAAUUUGAGCUUGUUAUUUUCAUCUAACCAUCAAAUGUUUCAUUGGUCGAGCACGACAUGUUGUAGAGCAAGAAAUGAGAGCUGUAUUUUGCUUCACCUGAAAUAUUUGCUUUUGUUAAUUACCCAAUCCCUCACUUGGUUGGAUCCACUCUUUUCACCCGGUGGGUAUUUACUAACUUUUAUUUUUCCUGAAACUAUUAUUUAUUCUACUAUAUCAUAACAAAAAUAAAAUAUUGUAAAAUUAGUACUAAUCUAAUAUCGGAAGUUUUGUUUGAGAUAUCUCGUGCAAAGCGAAUUGAAAAAAUUUAUGAGGUAUAAAUUCCAACUGAUUAAGUAUUAAAUUAAAAAAAUAAUUAAAAGAUAAAUUAGAGAAUAAUUUUGAAUUUAUUAUAAUAAAUGCUAAAUGAAAUAGGGAAAUCAUUGUAUAUCAAGAGAUAUUUACUGUGAAUUAUAAUAGUAGUCUCACUUUUUAUUUUUUAUCUUAUCUUUUUAUAAGACAUUUCUUUAAUUGUUUGUGUUGUUUUAUUUCUUUUCUCUCUCCUGAUAAUUAAAAUGUACAAUUAUUAUCUAUUUGUUUGUUGUUUGUUUGUGUUAGGUAAGAAUUGGCAGACCCAAGUACCUUGUGUUUGAUAAACAUGUCAGAUCUAAACUUCUAGAAUCUGGUAUAAUCGCUAGAUUCAAUAGUCUUAAAUCUAGUAUAAUCACCGAACCUAAAACACUUAAAAUAUUUUUAAUAUUUUAAAAAAUUAUUAUUAAUCCACUGUGUGUUAUAAUAUGCUAAUAAAUAAGUUAAAAGGAAUUAGAAUAGUAAAGACUUAUUAAAAACAUGGCAUGGAGUAACUAGCAAACAAAUUCAAAUUUCAAAGAUGACAUAAAUGGGCAAACCCAAGAUUUCCAAAUCUCCACUUGGAAGGUAAUUAGACAUAGAUUAGAUAAUCAUAAUUGACUUAUCGCAAGACUUCCAAGAAUAGUCUGUGACACGUGUCCAAGAAAGCUUUGAUUUUGUAUGAAAUGGAUUUUUCUCCAUGGAAUAAUCAUGAUGGGUGGGAUUUAUCAUCUAUCGUUGUUUCUCGUCAAAACUAUAAGAUGAUUAUUAGAUUUUUUUUUUAAUAUUGUGAUGAGAAAUAUUUUUUAAAAAAUAAUUUUUAUUUGAAAAUAUAUUUAAAUAUUUUUUUAUAAAUUUUUUAUUUUUUUAUAUUAACAUGUUAAAACCAUAAAAAAACAUUAAAAAUUUAUUAAUUUGAUAUUUUUUCCAAGAAAAAUACAUUUUUAAAAUACAUCUAAAAGCAAAAUCUACUACACUCCUUAAAUAUUUAGGGAUGUUAGGGAGAGUAGAUGAUAUUAUUUUUUAAAAUAAUUUUUAUUUGAAAAUAUAUUAAAAUAUUUAUUUUUUAAAAUCAGCAAUUUUAAACAGAAAACAAUUUAGCCAGCCAUUCUUGAGUUUAUCUUGAAAAAAUUCAGUGCCUGUAAUUAUACAAGUUUUCAAAUCAAGUGUCUUUACUUUUUUUUUUUUUAAUUGUGCAUCUGUAUCUCCAUUUUUUAAUAUAUAUAUAUAUAUAUAUAUAUAUAUAUAUAUAAAUUUUAAUCAAUUUUUCUUUUUUAAAUUGGAACCGUCCAAACUAUAUAUUAAAAUAAACGCAGCCAAUAAUCUUGUAACUUCUAUUGCUUGAUGAAUCAAACUACAUAUAGUCAUAUACUUAAUUAUCCAAAUUAAAACCAUAGAAGUGUUUUCAUCAAUAUCAAUACCAUGAAAAACCUUUCAUUUUUUUAAAUAUUUUUUACUUUAAAGUAUAUUAAAAUAUUUUUUUAUUUUUAAUAUUAACACAUCAAAAUUAAAAAAAAAAAAUUAAUUUAAUAUUUUUUCAAUCCAACCACAUUUUUUAAAACGCAAUCAAGUAAAAUUUCAAACGCAACGUCAAUCACAAAUCAACAAUGGUACUAUGUAAACAGGACUAGACAAAGAACCCAAUUAUAAAUUGGCAAAUUGCCCAGCUAAUGGCCCGUUACCUCUAAGGCUAAAUCAGGCCCACCAUUCAACACUAAAUGCUCCGACAAGUCGUUCAUUUUGGGCUAUCAAGUGGACUGCUGGUCGAGUUGUUUAUGAGCCGGGAUGGACCGAACCGGGCCCAACCUAACGAUUAUUGAUUCACUUGUACCCUCCAAGAGCAUGUUCUUAUUACCUGAAGUGAAGUUGAAUUGUUUAUAAAUAAAUAAUUGUGAAUGUUUAUUAUAUAAACAUGUUUUAUUUUUAAAUAAUCGUAUUUAAAUUUUGAUAAUAAUUAUUAAAUUAAUUAGUUUACUUUGUGAAUUAUAUAAAAUAGUUUUAAACUAGAUUUAAGUAAAAAUUAGGGAAAAGAUUGAAUUAUCUUUCAAAAUUUAAUAAAACAUAGUUUGGAUAAAUAUAUAUAACUCUUAAAAAUAAUAAUUACAAGAAAUUCCUCACCUGAUGUUAUAUUAUUACAAAUUAUUUUUAUUUGAACAAUUAUUUUCAAUUAUAUAUGAUGAUGUGUAUAAAUUAACAUUACACAUAUGAAUAAAAGUUUUAAGAAUUAUUUUUUAAUAAAUUUUGUAUUUUUAAUACCAUUACUAUCACUAUCACUAUUUUUCCUAAAGAUUAAAAAAUAAUGUAACUCAAUAAACAACAAUAACAUGUAAAAAUCAACUAAGGUUUCAAUUUAAUAAUUUGAUGAAUUUUCUAUGUGAUUUUUAUUUUUAGAUUUUAAUACUUCAUUUUUAAUUAGCUUGAUUUUAAGUUUUUCUAGGGUUGUGAUGGUAAAAAUAAAGUUCCAAUAUAGUGUUAUAUAAUAUAAGGGUGAUUUAAGUAGCUGAUUUUAUGAAUAAAAGUAUAAUAAAAAAAUAAAAAUUAUCUUAUAUUUUAGGAUUCAUUUUUUUUUAAAAAAAACAUACUUUUUAGAAAAUUAAUAUUUUUAAAGAAUUUUACUAAUAUUAAUAUUUUCUUAAGGAUAUAAUAUUUAAUCAAAAUUUUUCAAAUAAUCAUGCUUUUAUACGUAAUUAUGAAUUGAUUUUAUGAUUUAAGAAGUAUUCUAAGUUUUAACUCGGAUAUAAAUAGAGAUUUUUCUUGAUAUUAGUGGGAUGUAAAACACAAUAUUUCAUAUUGAAUGUGAUCUGAACAUCUAUUUUUGUAAAACAAAAGAAAAAAAAUGAAAAGUAAGUUAACUAGAUCAUAUUAUUUUUUCCUUCAUAAAAAACACAUGUUUUUUUUAUAGUUCAUUGUUCAUUCAUGAGUCUACAAGAAAUGUAAAACAAAAUAAAAUAAUAUAAUUCAAAAGUUGACAUCAUUAAAGGCAAUAUUCAUCCAGUUCUACUUAAGUUGGGUUGCUUCGACUAUUUAUUGAUGAAUCGUUAUUUAUUAGUCAAACUUGUAGAAGCUAAACCAAUGACUUUUUUAAGCUUUAUUCAUAUCAAUCUUUGUUUGCUUCUUAUGAUGGGCAGUGCAAUGCACUAAUCUCCUUUUAUAUCUUUGUCCGCGUGAUGGAUCGACAUUUUUUGGCAUCAUGAAAAAAUAUUUUUUAAGCCUAAGUCCUUGUUUAAAAGGUUUAAAAACAAGAUGGUAAUCCAUUGAUAAGUGGGAAGGGUUUGCUUUCAUACCCAACAUUCAUAGACUUGGUAAAAUAUUAGACCCAAAUGACAUGACUGUAACUCGCUUCCAGACCCAACAUUCAUGGGUGUGGCUAAAAGCCGAGUCUAAAUGGGCACAUGUCUGACGAGUUGCCAGACCCACUGCCCUUAAUCAUUGGCACUGUGCCAAGCUUAAGUAGGUAUGAGCUUGACGAGUUACAAGACAUAUCGCCUUUGAGUUUGGAAGCGCACUGAGCCUAAUUAGGCAUGAGUUUGGCAUGCUAUUAGACUUUUUGACUAUGAGCUUAGUAAUGUGCCUAACACAGAAAAGUUAAAGGACUGUAGGUCAUUAUAGACCCCAUGUUGGACUAUAAGGCUCUAUUUGUUUAUUAUUAUGACUUUAACAUAAAAUGUUAGUGUCAGGGAUAUCCGUCUCCCUACCUUUAUAAAUGUAUAAAAAAUCUCGUAAUGACCUACUAUAUUCCCAUCUUAUUAUUGUGUAAGAGAUAUUUAUCUAUCAUUAAUGCUGUAUAAGGGAUAUUUAUUCAUCAUUAAUGUUAACAGGAGGAAAUGACUCUCUAAACCCUCUACUUUAGCAUAACGAUAAGGUUUAGGGGUUAUAAAUACCCCUUGAACUUUCCAGGUAAAAAGUUCACAAUUUUAUUCUCUGGACACUAUACUUUUAAAUCUCAGAAUAUUUAUCAUACAAAAAACAAGAACAAACACUCUUGUUUUUGGAUUUAAUGCUUAUUCUCUUAUUUAUUGCUAUUCUUUUCUUAAAAGUUAUUGACUUUAUCAUCUAAGGGUCCCUAAACUCCACUAAAAAGAAUUGUUUUGCAGGUGUUUGGCUUUUUACCACUAGUUAUCCACUUUCUAAGUUCUGAAGAAUGGAAUAUUGACACAAACAUAUGAUUACCCAUUAUCCAAAUACCAAAAAAUCUCAUUCCUAAGCAUAUUGGAUUUUGGAACGUCUUCAUUUGACACCAUUUAUGGGAACAAGUUCAAAAAGCCAUCAACUUUUUUCUGGGUUUGGCUUUUGACCUUUAUGAGCCAGUUUAUGACAAACAAUCAAGAUAUACUUGUGAUGAGACGUGUCAUAGACCUCCCUAUAAUUGUUGGCAUAUCUGCUCCAUUAGAGCUUUAAAAACUCUUUAAUUAGGUCUGACUCAUCACUGAGAUAGUGCUUUGAAACUAAAUCAAUAACAAUUAUUGAUAGAUUUCCUCCUCACCUAUAAGUACAAUUUUGCUUUCAAAACUUCAGAUAUGCUAGGGAUCAAUCCGAAAAUAGUUGCUUAUAGACUUCAAGUCAAUCUAACUUUCUCUCAUAUCUAACAUAAAAAGAGAAAUUUCAGAGGGUAAAGAUAGCUUGUAAUAAUUAUAAAAGUGGAUAAACUUUUAGCUACUAGGUUCGUUCAUGAGAUCAUAUAUCUUGAUUGGUUGACUAAUGUGGUCAUGGUGAAAAAAAAGUAUUGGAAAAUAGAGGAUGGGUGUGUAUUUCAUUGACUUAAACAAGGCAUGUCCAAAAGAUACUUUUUCUCUCAUAAAGAUUGAUAGAUUGGAGGACUCUAUAGUAGACUUUGAGUUAUUAAGUUUCUUGGAUAUAAUUCAGGAUACCGUCAAAUCCCUAUUUAUUUAGAAUAAGAGGAGAAUACUUAUUUCAUUACUGAAAGAUAAAACGUUUUGCUACAAGGCAAUGCCUUUUGGCUUGAAAAAUACAAUGGCUACUUAUCAACAUAUGGUUAAAAAAAUGUUUAAGCACCAAAUUAGAGGAUCAUUUAAGGAUAUGUGGAUGACAUGCUAGUGAAUAACAUGAUUUUUGAGCAACAUCUCAAGGAUCUAGAAGAGGUUUUUUUCUGGACAAGUGUUAGAUAAAGCUUAACCCAUUCAAAUAAUGUGUUCACCAUAAGAGGAGGAAAUUUUUUGGAUUUCCUAGUCAGCAGCAAGGGAAUAAAGUCCGACCCUUAGAAGAUUCAGGCAAUAUUGGAUAUAACUCCCCAUUAGAACGUCUCACUGGAAGACUAACUGCAAAUUUAUAUCUAGGAUAAGGAAACACAUUCGGCAUUUCUUCAAAGCUUUGAAAAAUAUCAUUAACUUUGAAUGGACACUAGAAUGUAGAAAAACUUUUGAAGAGCUCAAAGUAUAUCUUUUCUCUCUUAAGAUCUUGUGGAAAGUGAGAGUUUGUUCCUCUACCUUGGAAUUUUUAUUUUGAUAAUUAGUGUGGGGUUCUAACAGACUAAAACCUACCUGGUUUUACUAUAGAACCAAUGGUUUUGAGUUUAUGUGGUUUUGUAGGAAACUUAGAGAUCAAGGUUUUAAACCCUUGACGGGAACCUUCUAGAAGUUUCUAAGUGGGAGCAAAUGAAAAAGUUAGGUGGUUUCCUGUAAAUGGGUGUCAUUGUCAGGUUGAUUGGGGUAGUCACUUUCAUGGCUUUGCCGGAGCAACUCCGACAUCAACGUUAUCUAAGACCACUUGAACUUGGUAGAGGGGAUGCACAUCUUUCAAUCGGAUCCAUUCUUGCUUGAUUUGAAUGUCUGUAUCUUCACAUUCAAACAUUUGAAAGUGCCAACUCAAACAGUAUGGUAUCUGAAACUGUAAUGUUGGCUUAUUAGUAACAAGAUGUUGUGGAGAUCAAUAAAGAAUAUGGAACAUAUAUAUUUGAUUUUAAAAAUAUAAGGUUGUAAAAGUGAUGUUUUUCAGUUGAAUAAUGAUUAUUACAGCUUUUAAAAUGUUCAGAAACAUCACAUUAAUUCACUUAAAAAUAGAUACUCGAGCAUAAAAAAAUUAAAUAAAAAGAUUCACAAUACCAAAAAAAUCAUAUUCAUUCGCUUUUCUUAAACUUUUUAAAUCUUUGACGUAAGCAAGAACAAAAAAUAGAGAGAAAACGUCUCCUUUCUCUCUGUUUCUCUCUCUAACUAGGAGAGUAUGGAAACACCUGGAUGGAAUCUUAUUAUCUCCCUCUGUCUCUCUUCUUUGAAACAAAAACCCUAAAAAACUAAAAUCCAAAAAAAAAAAAUAACACACCAAAAUCCCACUCUAGCCCCACUCUCUCUCUCUCCCACUCUAAACAGUCGGUAGUACCUGUCGCCUUCAAAUGUGACUUUUGCACCACUGACAACAUUCAUUUUUCUUUUUCUCUAUAUAAAGACUCGGUUUUUAUUUUUCAAAAAUGACUUCUUCUUCUUCUAUUAAGGAGACGACGGAGGAGGAGCAGGUUACGCCGGAUAUUUUACCGGCUGACGGUGGUGUUGGUGGAGUGGAGAAGAUUGAGCCUGUCAGUAGUGGGGGGGAGGAAGAGAGUGGUGGUGAGAAACUUGACGAUUCAAUGGAAGAGGACUCAGUGAGUCCGGCUACUGUGUUUUGUAUUAGGCUGAAACAGCCACGGUCGAAUUUGCAGCAUAAAAUGAGUGUGCCUGAGCUUUGUCGCAAAUUUAGGUCAGUUUUUGAUUGAGAUUUGAGUGGAUUUUGGUUGUUUGAUUAUUAAAGCUGUGGUUUUCAAGUGAAAUUCGAUUUAGGUUUGGUGUUCUUUUAUCCUUUUGGAUUGUGGGCCUAGUUGGGGCUUCUUUUAAGUGGAUUUGGAGUCUCUUUUAGACAAUUGGAGUGAACUGUAAUAGUUCUUAGGGUUCUUUUAUGGUUAUAUCUGAGAUAAGACAAAGUUCUUGGUUCUUCAAUUGAAUUUGGAAUGAGUUCUGUUUGUGAAUAGAGGUUGUUUAGUGUUUAACCAGAGAAUUUUGAUGGGAUUUGAGUGUUUUUAAUUUUACGAAUGUUACAAUUAUAGGUUCUUUUAAGUUGGAAUUGAGUUUCUUUUUCACAAAUAUCAGUGUAUUGUGAUUGUCGUUAAGUUUCUUUUAGGUAGUUUAUGAAAUAAUGCAAGUGUUUUAUUCGAUUCUUCAAGUGAGUCGUGUUUGUAUAUGGAAGUUGUUCAGUCUCUAAACUUCGUGGGUUUUAAGCGAAACUUUAUUAAGGUUUAGUGUUUUUACUCUGUUGAUUGGAGCACAGACUCUUCUUUUAUUGAAUUUUGAUUUUUUUUCUUCUGCAAUUUGAGCUUAUCAGAUAUCGCUAUUGGUUAGGGUUCUUUUACUUAUCAAAAUGUGUUUUUUUUGAGUAGUUUUAUGGAAGUUGAGUUUCUUUUUUGUUUAAGUCUUUAGAUACCUGGAUUCCUUCAAGUGGGAUUUAUGCUUUGAUUUAGUUGUUUUUGAUGCUCUGUUGUUAGUGUAGGAAGUGGAAGUGAGUUUAGGACGAGUGAAAAAUCAAGUUUGGAAAAAUAUGAUAGAGAAAGAGAGUUUUAGAAUUGAUUGGUGGAUAUGUAAAGGAUACACUAAAGUUGGUGAAGUGAUAACAAUGAAGAAGUAUACGAUCAAGUUAUUUGGUAUAUGCUAUAUAGAAGCUUGCUUUUAUGUUUUGAUUAAAUAUUGAAAAUCACCAUCUUCACACUUGUAUCAGGGUGAUAAAUCAUUCUAUUUCUGCAAUUUCUAGUGUUGAACUAUUAUGAGAAUGGCAUUUUUUGGCAGAAAAAAUAUGCAUUCCUAACAUCGAUCUGCCAUGGGAGCACAAAAUAGAACAGAAGGUAGGACAACGGGAAAUUGUAGACUUUACUUGCAGAUUUUCUUAUAAAUGCUUUCUAGUUGCUACGGUGUUUUCUCACUCUUACUUUCUCUGGUCAUUCUCAUCUAUUUUACACUCGAAACAUGAUGCCAUAACAAUGAGCGUCACAAACUUGUAGCUACAUGCAGUUGGUUUGUGACAUGCGUAUUGUUAAACCAUGAUACUCCUAAUGUAGGUUUUGAGAUUCUAUUAACAGCUGUCUAAAGUAAAUGAGCUGUAGUUAUUUAAAGCAUCUUUGCUUGUCCAUUCUACCAUUUUACUGGUCUUUACCAAAUUCAUAUUUUAACGUAUGCUUUUCCAGUGCUGUUGCUUGGUGUGGUAAGCUGAACGCGAUAGCUUGUGCAUCAGAAACUUGUGCAAGAAUUCCCAGGUCAGUGGAUUUUUGGAUUUCUAGCAUGUUUCAGUUUAAUAGGGGAGAGCAUUCACUAUACAUUGUUGCCAAUUGGACUUUCCUAUAAAUACGCUAAUGUGCUUGAGAACAGAUGUUGAAACAUGAUUGAUAUUUGCUAUAGUGAACUAUUUCGGGUUCUUCUAAUUAAAAUAUAAGAUUGUACCCAAGAUGGACUCACAUGUUUGCAAUUAAUAUUUUAAUAUCAUCAUUUGCAAUUUUUUUUUGUAGCUCCAAUGCAAACCCCCCAUUUUGGAUCCCCAUACACUUGGUUAUCCCUGAGAGACCAACUGAAUGUGCAGUUUUCAAUGUCAUAGCAGGUAUUUUGAGUCACCUUGCACCGUUUACCAUGUCUUCCUUUUUUUUAAGUUUUAAUUAGUCAUGUAUGCCGAGUGUAUUUCAUUCAUCUAUUAUAUGUUAGAUUUCUCGCUGAUUUAUUACUUCCCUCUUUCUAUUGGGCUCUAAUUUCCCAUUUUCGAGUUAUUGAAUUGGAUCCCUUUGCAGAUUCUCCUCGUGAUUCUGUUCAGUUUAUCGAAUGGUCCCCUACUUCUUGCCCUCGUGCAUUAUUAAUAGCUAAUUUCCAUGGGAGGAUAACUAUCUGGACUCAGCCUUCUCAAGUAAGCUAACUUGAUGGAUUGUUUAAGCCAGAUAUAAAAUAAGUAGAUGCCCUUUUCCACUCACUAGUUCUUAAGAACUAAGCUUUUCAUGGCUUGCUCAACGUAAGAGGUUUGGGGCUGGCCCUGUUUUGGUUUUUACCCAUUGCUGUCUCUCUGUGUUUAUGCAUACCACUUGCUUAUAAUUUUUAAAUUCUCUUGUAGCUUACAUCUUAUCUGGUCGUGCAGUGUCCAUCUAAUUUGGUGCGUGAUGCUAGCUGCUGGCAGCGUGAGCAUGAAUGGCGACAGGACAUUGCAGUUGUUACUAAAUGGCUAUCUGGGGUCUCUCCAGUAUGCAGUUAUUAUGUUUUUGUUAUCUGAUUCUUAAAUUAUCCAUGUAUUAUGCUUUGCACAUAGGUGGUGGUAGUUUAGUAUUUAUCUAUAUUUCUCAGUUCUCUAGUUUAUCUCUGUUUUUUUAAAUUUGUGUUGGUAUUUGGUUAUACUCCCGCUGUAGUCCGACUUCUCUUAAAAAAUCAGUACAGGUGGCUUUCGUCAAAGUCCAGUACUCCCACAAACUCAAAGUCAGCUUUUGAGGAAAAAUUCCUUUCUCAGCAUUCUCAAACUUCAGGUUUGUUUUCAUGACUUCUCUUUAUAAGCGUUUGUAGAGGCUCAAGUGGGAGCUUUAAGCCCAGUUCCAUUUUUAGCUUGUAAGGGCCAUGCCUUCUGACUAGCUACUUAACAUCCACUGAAUUAUAUCAUGUGGCUGUUGCUUUGAGAAGAAUAGUUCAGGUUAUUUUCUGAACAGCUGUAAAUUUAGAAUAGUAAUUUGGUUGUAGUUUCUGCUAUGGUUUUAUUCAUUACUGGUUGUAGUUUCUGCUAAGGAUUUAUUCAUUAUUGGAUCAACUUCUAACUACUGUAUCGUGAAUGUUCCUAGAAAGAUGCAAUGUAUGUCAAGCACAGAAACUCUUAAUUUAAGAAUUUUUGAUAUCUGCCACCUUUUCUCCUAAUUAUGAGAAUGAACUGGUGCUUUUAACCGACUAUUGACCACUGCUGCUAGUGCUAUGUAUUCCAAUAAUGAUGGUGAUACUUUUGGUGUUCUUUCUGCUUUUGAGGUACCUCCACUUGGCAUAUUAAAACAGCCCCAUGACCAUCACUAACGUGCUUUCUGUUUUUCUUUCAGCUAGAUGGCCAAAUUUCCUCUGUGUUUGUUCAGUUUUCUCAUCGGGCUGUGUUCAACUUCAUUGGUCCCAGUGGCCCCCUAGCCAGAAUAAUACAUCACCGAAGUGGUUUUGCACGAGCAAAGGACUCUUGGGUGCCGGCCCUAGUGGGAUUAUGGCUGCUGAUGCUAUUAUAACAGAUAGUGGUGCAAUGCAUGUUGCAGGUGUUCCGAUUGUAAACCCUUCAACUGUUGUUGUUUGGGAGGUUACUCCUGGCCCUGGAAAUGGAUUUCAAGCGACCCCAAUGGCGAGUGCUAGCAAUGGGGUCCCGCCUUCAGUCAAGCCUCCUAAUUGGUCUGGUUUUGCUCCUUUGGCUGCAUAUUUAUUCAGCUGGCAGGAGCAUCUGAUGUCUGAAGCAAUGCCAGGGAAAAAGCAUAUGGAUAAAGAUUUCACUGACACUGUCUCACUUCAUUGUUCGCCAGUUUCAAAUUUUUCUGCGUAUGUGAGUCCGGAGGCUGCAGCUCAAUCUGCAGCAACUACCACUUGGGGUUCUGGAGUCAGUGCCGUUGCUUUUGAUCCGACUCGUGGUGGCUCUGUGAUUGCGGUUGUUAUAGUUGAGGGUACCUACCAGCAUUCUGAAUUGAAAUUUUAUUUUUUGCCUGUUCCAUAUUUUUCCCAUAAGAAAUCCUCUUUCAGUAUGUUUUUAUAUAGUUUGUGUGAUUAUGCUUGUGCAACAGUGUCCUGGGCUCUCUUUCUCCGUCUACUCGAAUUAAUACUCAUAUUCUUACAGAGAUGUGAGGCUAAAUUUCAUGUUCGAGUCAGCUGAAGAUCCCUUUCUAUGCCCACAGUUAUCUGGAUUCAAUAUAAUAAUAACUAGUUUUACGCCUGCAGGACAAUAUAUGUCCCCUUAUGAUCCAGAUGAGGGUCCUUUAAUCACGGGAUGGAGGGUGCAACGAUGGGAAUCGUCCCUUCAACCUGUCGUACUUCAUCCAAUAUUUGGAAAUCCCACUUCUGGUUUUUGUGGGCAGGCACCCAUGCAAACUGUAUGGGUGUCCAAAGUGGAUACAAGCAUACCACCAACUAAUGAUUUUAAAAAUCUCCAAGCAGCUCCUGCAGUACCAAUCUCAGAUGGAAGAAAGGCAUCUGAUUCUCGUUCUGAGAAGACGAAAAGAGUCACCUUUGAUCCCUCUGAUCUGCCCAGCGAUGUUAGAACUCUUGCUCGAAUUGUUUAUUCUGCUCAUGGUGGCGAGAUUGCUAUUGCUUUUCUGCGGGGUGGAGUUCACAUUUUCUCUGGGCCAAACUUCACACUUGUUGACAACUACCAGAUUAAUGUUGGAUCUGCAAUUGCUGCUCCUGCCUUCUCUUCCACAAGCUGCAGCUCAGCUUCAGUUUGGCAUGACACUAGGAAGGAUCGCAGUAUAUUGAAGAUAAUUCGUGUUCUUCCUCCUGCUGGUCCAAUUAGUCAGGUGAAGGCUAACUCAGCAAUCUGGGAGCGUGCUAUUGCUGAAAGGUACUUAGUAGAGUCAUUUGUUUGGGAAUUACUUUGGAAAUCCACAUGUUAGUGGUUAUGGCAUUUCCUUUGGUUAAAAAUCAGAUGAAGGUUGGAUGUGCAGAAAAUUUCAACAUUCUGGUUGGUCAUGCUGAUAUUGUGUUUUGCCAGAGCAGGUUUUGGUGGAGCCUUUUGGUUGGUGUUGAUUGGUGGGAUGCUGUUGGGUGUACACAGAGUGCUGCUGAGGAUGGCAUCGGUAAGAAUAAUUAGAUUCUCCAGUAUUACCGUGGCUUAUAGAAAAGAAAAUAUAUUGAAGAACAAUUUCUUCCCAAGGAUUCCUAUUCUAGAUUUCUUUGCAAGUAACAUGAAUCAAUGGUAAGAUCUUCUGUUGAUGGCUGGUUCUUCGUUUCUUUUCAGUUUCACUUAACAGUGUCAUUGCAGUCUUGGAUGCUGAUUUUCAUUCUCUUCCCUCUACACAGCACAGGCAGCUGUAUGGUCCUGUAUGUUUUUCUGCUCUAUUACCAUCUCAUCAUUAUUUCUUUUGAGAUAGUCUGUCAUUAUGAUAUUUGUAAUUACAAUAUUGAAAGAACGCAUCUAAUCUUUUUUAUGUUUGCGGUUCAUUUCUCUGAAAUUUUCCAUGUCAAAGUCUUUUUGUUAUUUUUUUGGAAAUCGUAUGUGCCAUGGUGGCCCAAUUUCCGCCCCAAAAAAACAAUUUCUAAUUUUGAUAGUUAGCAAGGGCAUCUAGAAUAUUCUAAUGCUGCUAGCCUAGGUCUUGUAGAAUAUUCGACUUGGACUGGACGUAGAAUGGUCUUGUGGCACAUUACAUAAGGUAUGACAUGUAAUGUGCGCCUCAUAAGCACACAUGUUAUAUCGUUGCACAUUAUAACCCUAAAAUCCCAUGCAAGACAUUGCUUUAACCUAUGACAUUGCUUUUCCUUUAAUUUUGUGGUGACAAUUCAAAGCUCCUGUUACUGGCUGUCCCAUUUUCUAGAAUGCAUUUGGCUGGGCAAGUAAACUUGUUUUUAAUGAUGCAGAGUCUGGACAGGAUAAAAUGUAGGCUAUUGGAAGGUACAAAUGCUCAGGAGGUUAGGGCAAUGGUUCUUGACAUGCAAGCUAGGUUGCUGCUUGAUAUGCUCGGCAAAGGCAUUGAGUCAGCUUUGAUAAAUCCUUCAGCAUUAGUACUUGAACCAUGGCAGGCUUCUGGCGAGACAUUAUCUGGCAUUGAUCCUGAAGCAAUGACUGUUGAGCCAAACCUUGUUCCGAAUAUUCAGGUUUGCUCUUUUCUCUCUAUUAUCUCAUAUUAAGUUUUGGGUCCUGUUGAAGUUUUUACUACUGAAGAUCUACUCCUACCAGCAAUAUGUGGCUUACUCAUGACCUGAUUGCCAGUGAUAAGAUGCUUAUAUCUGAUACAUGAAAUGUGUGAUGAUGGUUGUAUGGCUUGGGCUGUACCUUGGCUUUUAUGGCCUGGAAACUGAUGCCUGAACAAACAAUAUAUGUGUGGCAGUUUAGGCUUGUUAGUCUGCUGUAUCCAAGCACUCAGACUGAGCUGGUUGGAUAUUUCCCUGCCUCCAGUCAGCUCAAACAUCUGCCCUUGUUGAUGCAGGUUUAUGAUUUGUUAAUUUUCUCUAACUGUGGUAAUUUCAUGCAGGCUUAUGUUGAUGCAGUUCUUGAUCUAGCUUCACAUUUUAUCACACGUCUACGGCGUUAUGCAAGUUUCUGUCGCACACUGGCCAGUCACGCCGUUACAGCAGGCGCAGGCAGUAACCGCAAUACGGUGACUAGUCCUACUCAAAGUUCGGCAUCUCCCGCACCAAAUCAGGGUUAGUAUGCAGCGUCUAGUGUUCAUCUUUAUGAAGGAGAAAGAUAAAAUUCCUUUAUUCCAUAAUUUUGUGUUUGCUAAGUUUUGUGGUGUCCAACUUCAAAAGCUUGUGGAGUCCUGUAAUAUGAUCUUUACUGCUUAAGAGGUUACUGCCUUAGUCUCUGGGAAAAUUCCAUAAAAACUCUUAUAUUCUUUCUCUCACUUUCUUAUGGUUAUUAUGUUUAACACUCUGUCUUCUAAUGCAUUUUCUCCAGGUGGUCAAAGUGGCGGUACAAGUUCUACUGGAAGCACUCAGAUGCAAGCUUGGGUACAAGGUGCCAUUGCUAAGAUUAGUAGCACAACAGAUGGAGUGUCCACUGCAACACCAAACCCCAUAAGUGGUCCAUCUUCUUUCAUGCCAAUAAGCAUCAAUACUGGAACUUUUCCUGGAACCCCAGCAGUGAGGCUCAUCGGUGACUGCCAUUUCCUUCACAGAUUAUGCCAGCUUCUGCUUUUCUGUUUUUUCUUUCGGCGAACUCAACUACCUCGCUUUGCCGGAGGUACACAGAGAAAUCCCACUGAUACAAAUGCGCAAAAACCUCAGUCUGGUGCUGCUGGCAAGGUGGAGGAGAUCAACACUGUUUCUUCAAAGCCAGCACCAGCUGUAGUUAGGUCGGAUGAAGGGCAGGCAGUUCGAGGUAGUCAGGUAGUGCCUGGAGCUAAAGCAGUCGAAGAGGGACCUGCAGGCAGGCACAGGGUAGGCAAUGGAAAUGCUGGCCAAGGAUACAGUUUUGAGGAGGUAGAAACUGGUGCUUUUUAAUUUCGUCUAGUCUUCACAUGUUACGAAGAAUCUUCAUUAGAAUUUUGGUUUCUUAUCUGGCUAAAUAUAUUCUUUCUGAUCUAUGGACUGAGGAAAAAACUGCUUGACCUUCAAGUCAAUCGCGUAGUUUUUGGGCAUCCGAAAGGUUUUUGAUAAUUCUCUCGGUUAAGGAAACAAUCAAUCAAUCAGCAGUGGUACCCUAGAUUAAGAUAAAGGCUCAUUCUUUGCUGCCAUGUAGGUGACGGUCCUUUUCCUCAUACUCAUGGAUCUGUGUCGGCGAACAGCAUCUCUGGGACACCCAUUGCCGGUUUCUCAAGUAGGAAGCAGCAAUAUCCAGGUGCGGUUGCAUUAUAUUGACGGCAAUUAUACUGUAUUGCCAGAGGUUGUAGAAGCAUCUCUUGGUCCGCAUAUGCAGGUAUCUAUGCUUAUGAUUUACUCCUGUAAAUGAACCUUUGGUUGUUUGGAAGUAGCUUUCUUUCUUUCUUGUUUCUUUUUUGAUAGGGAUAGCCCUCCACUUUUCCUUCUGUAAUUUUUUUGGACAAACAACUGUUUUGUUAACUUUAUGUAACAUUUUGUUGUGGAAUCCACAGAACAUGCCACGGCCCAGAGGUGCAGAUGCUGCUGGUCUGUUACUCCGAGAGUUAGAACUACACCCUCCAUCUGAAGAGUGGCACAGGCGGAAUAUGUUUGGCGGACCCUGGUCUGAUCCAGAGGAUAUGGGUUCAGACGAUACUUCUAAGCUUAACUCCACAAAUUCACUUGAUUUUAGCUCACUGGAAAAUUGUGAUGUUUAUUACGGAGCUCAUGGCCUUUGGCCGAGGAAGCGCAGACUGUCUGAAAGAGAUGCAGCUGUUGGCUUGAACACCUCUGCAGGCCUGGGAGCAUAUCUUGGCAUAAUGGGUUCUCGAAGAGAUGUUGUUACUGCAGUGUGGAAGACUGGUCUUGAAGGCGUUUGGUACAAGGUCACUCCAUUUUUCUUCUCCCUCUUAUUUGGUUUUUUUUUUUUUUUUUUUGUUUUGAUCUUGUCAGUUAUUUUUUUUUUGUUAUUCAGCCAUCUUUUCUGUAGGAUUACUGAAUUAAAAAGGAAAAUCUAUUUUUAUGUUAUUGGUAAGUUUGUGUCAUGUAUCUAGAAGGAGGUACUCAACAUAAUUAAGCCUUGAAGUGAAUUUAGUCGUUGUAAGGCAGUGAAUUAUAUUCCCCUGUUAUCCCCUAUACACUGCUGCAUCCACCACAAGAUGCUUAAAACCCAAUUCCCUUUACUCCCCAACUCACAUAAGAGGAGGAUCAACCAUGAUUACUCACGGAUCCGACUUUUAUGUGAGUGGAGCAGUUCUCUGGGAGUGCUGAAUUAUAUUUCCUUGGACACAAGGAUGAAUGGUCAAGAGGUGAUUUACUAGGUUUUGGUACUCGUGGUUCAUAAUCUGGAAAUGGUCGGACAUUAUUUUCAAUUUAAUUGUGGUGCUAGGGAAUGAAACAAGUGAACUGCUUUGUUUAUGAUAAGAUAUGUUUCUCUUGCAUAAUAUGUUUCCAUCAGAGAUAAGAAUCUGCAAAGGAAUAACCUCACUCAUAAAUUUUCUCUCUUGCCAUAUAACCAUUCAUAUGUUUAUUUCAGUUGCAAAUCCUCUGCCCUCUCUGCAUGCGUGGAUCUGCCUGUAAUCUAUUAUACCUAUCUAACAUUAUUGUUAUUAAUGCAGUGCAUAAGAUGUUUGCGGCAGACUUCGGCUUUGGCCUCCCCUGGUGCUGCAAAUCCACCAGAUCAAAAUGAAAGAGAGGCUUGGUGGAUCAGCCGUUGGGCCUAUGGCUGUCCGAUGUGUGGGGGGACAUGGGUUCGAGUUGUAUAGACGAGACUGCAAUCACAAAUGUUAAUUAGAUGGAGCUUUCCACUUUCAUGACAAUCAAUUCAAGGUGGUGCAUGCAUGACUGCAAUGUUAAUUAGCCGCGGCUUUCCACUUUCAUGACAAUCAAUUCAGGGCAAGCUCAUGCAGUAGCUGAUGUUGAAGAAAGCAGCACUCUUUGAUGGUAGU
rnacentral:lncRNA from 1 species